rnacentral:lncRNA from 1 species
AUGAAGUUCAGCCAGGCCCUCCUCGUCUUCCUGCUUCUGUCCAUGUCUCCAUUCACUGGAAGGCGCCCUGGCCGUUCCAGCAAUGGUGACUGGGACGAGGACAGGGAGGAAGAGCUGGUCCCUCCUGAGGAGCCGCUGCUUGCUGACACCGAGCGCCAGACCUCCAACUGGCCCAGCUGGCUUGGCCUCCCCUCCUGCCCCAGCUGGAUCUGGCAAAGGGUCAGCAGGGCUGCUGCAACAGAGGGCCUGAAGCAGCAGCCCCAGGACGCGGAGCAGAAGGCCCCUGAGUCGCCCUUCUGGCUUGGCCUUUCAGCGCUCCCCAUCCGGAUCCGCGAAAGGGACAGCAAGACGGUCCUCCCUGAGGAGAAGCAGCCUGCUGACACCGAGCGCCAGACCUCCAACUGGCCCAGCUGCCUUAGCCUUCCCUCCUGCCCCAGGUGCAUCUGGCACAGGCUCAGCAGAGCUGACGGUCCAGAGGGCCCAAAGCGGCAGCCCCUGCGCACCGAGCAGGCGGCCUUCAGCUUGCCCUACCUCCUGGGCCUCCUCUGCGACUACAUGGAGCAAGGGGGGUAUACCGGGCUCCUUAUGGGUGCCCUGAUAGAUGUCUGCGCUCUCUGCCUGCUGCGGGUUGCCCACAGCCUCUGGGGAAAAGUACAAAGACCUCGGGAACAGGGAACGCGACAAAUGGCCUCAGGUCCCCCGGGAACAGACGAGCAGCUCGACCGGCUGCAGGCCCAGCUGGACUUAUUGCAGAGGUGCCUGACGACCCUCGAAUCCCACGCGGAGCUCAACCGCCAGCAGUCAGGGAAGAAGGCACAAGGAGCAAGGAAGAGGAGUUGCUCCCCACCCCGCUCCAGCUCCAGCUCCGCUGUGGAUUCCGUGGGUGGACAACAGGAAAGCAGGGCAAGAUGACUGCCAGCUGCUGGAGCAGGACAUGCCUCCGCCCACCAAAGCUUCCUGGGGUGAAGGCAUCUCCAGUGACUACAGUCUUCUACCGCCUGGCUGCCAAGAGCUCCUUGAUCAUCACCUUGCUGCAGGGGGCUACGGACACUGGCCCAGCCUGCACAACGGCCGGCGGAGACUGUCCCACUAGUUUCAAGUGUUUGUUUUUCUCUUUUUUCUAUGUUUCAGUAAUUCUCUUUUUUGCAUGUUUCAAUAAAAAUUAAAAGAUAUAUUGCUAGUGCGUGUGU